UACGUAGGGUGCGAGCGUUAAUCGGAAUUACUGGGCGUAAAGCGUGCGCAGGCGGUCUGUUAAGACAGAUGUGAAAUCCCCGGGCUUAACCUGGGAACUGCAUUUGUGACUGGCAGGCUAGAGUAUGGCAGAGGGGGGUAGAAUUCCACGUGUAGCAGUGAAAUGCGUAGAGAUGUGGAGGAAUGCCGAUGGCGAAGGCAGCCCCCUGGGCCAAUACUGACGCUCAUGCACGAAAGCGUGGGGAGCAAACAGG
rnacentral:rRNA from 1 species